UGUUCCGAUAACUAAUCAUUCCUUAUUCUUAAAUCAAUUGAUAAAUGUACGUUAGGUUGUUCUUUACUGCCAAGCAAUCCUAAGAACAUCAAUAUGAUUUAACUUGUCAAUGACCUUGAGAGCUAGAAAGACUCAAUUCAAGUUGGCAGAUUCAUCAUCGUGAACCAAAUAACUAGAUGACUUGCCUCCUCAGUGGACAUUGAUUGCUAUUAGGUGCCAGAAUCGCUCAAACAAUUACAACUUGGAGGAGUUCAACUAGCUACUUGCUGUUUCUCUUCUCGUAUAAUAGGUCCUGUUUAAACGGGUUCAAAACAAAAAAU
rnacentral:lncRNA from 1 species